ACUGCUCAGUAACACGUGGACAACCUACCCUGAGGUCGGGGAUAAGCCCGGGAAACUGGGUAUAAUACCCGAUAGAUCUAGAUCGCUGGAAUGCUUUUAGGUCUAAAGUUCCGACGCCUCAGGAUGGGUCUGCGGCCUAUCAGGGUAGUAGUGGGUGUAAAGUACCUACUAGCCUACGACGGGUACGGGUUGUGAGAGCAAGAGCCCGGAGAUGGAUUCUGAGACACGAAUCCAGGCCCUACGGGGUGCAGCAGGCGCGAAACCUUUACAAUGCUGGCAACAGCGAUAAGGGGACCUCGAGUGCUACGAUACAAUCGUGGCUGUCUAGUUGCCUAAAAAGCAAUUGAUAGCAAGGGCCGGGCAAGACCGGUGCCAGCCGCCGCGGUAACACCGGCGGCUCGAGUGGUAACCGCUAUUAUUGGGUCUAAAGGGUCUGUAGCCGGCUUAGUUAGUCUCUUGAGAAAUCUGGCCGCUCAACGGUCAGGCGUUCAGGGGAUACUGCUAAAGCUCGAGACCGGGAGAGGUGAGAGGUACUUCAGGGGUAGGGGUGAAAUCUUGUAAUCCUUGAAGGACCACCAGUGGCGAAGGCGUCUCACCAGAACGGAUCUGACGGCAAGGGACGAAAGCUAGGGGCACGAACCGGAUUGGAUACCCGGGUAGUCCUAGCCGUAAACGAUACUCGCUAGGUGUCGGCCACGGUGCGACCGUGGUCGGUGCCGUAGGGAAGCCGUGAAGCGAGCCACCUGGGAAGUACGGCCGCAAGGCUGAAACUUAAAGGAAUUGGCGGGGGAGCAC
rnacentral:rRNA from 1 species